rnacentral:rRNA from 1 species
UACGGAGGAGGCAAGCGUUAUCCGGAAUGAUUGGGCGUAAAGCGUCCGUAGGUGGCUGAUCAAGUCUGCUGUUAAAUCCAGUAGCUUAACUACUGACAAGCAGUGGAAACUGAUCGGCUAGAGUGCGGUAGGGGCAGAGGGAAUUCCUGGUGUAGCGGUGAAAUGCGUAGAGAUCAGGAAGAACACCGGUGGCGAAAGCGCUCUGCUGGACCGCAACUGACACUCAGGGACGAAAGCUAGGGGAGCGAAUGGG